rnacentral:rRNA from 1 species
AUUGAACGCUGGCGGCAGGCCUAACGCAUGCAAGUCGAGCGGGGACUUCGGUCCUAGCGGCGAACGGGUGAGUAAUGCUUGGGAAUCUGCCCAGUAGUGGGGGAUAACGUCCCGAAAGGGACGCUAAUACCGCAUACGUCCUACGGGAGAAAGAGGGGGAUCUUCGGACCUCUCGCUAUUGGAUGAGCCCAAGUCGGAUUAGCUAGUUGGUAGGGUAAUGGCCUACCAAGGCGACGAUCCGUAGCUGGUCUGAGAGGAUGAUCAGCCACACUGGAACUGAGACACGGUCCAGACUCCUACGGGAGGCAGCAGUGGGGAAUAUUGGACAAUGGGCGAAAGCCUGAUCCAGCCAUGCCGCGUGUGUGAAGAAGGCCUUCGGGUUGUAAAGCACUUUAAGCGGGGAGGAAGGUUCGCGGCCUAAUACGUCGCGGAAUUGACGUUACCCGCAGAAUAAGCACCGGCUAACUCUGUG